rnacentral:rRNA from 1 species
CAGCCGCCACGGGAAUACGUAGGUGGCAAGCGUUAUCCGGAAUUAUUGGGCGUAAAGCGCGCGUAGGCGGUUUUUUAAGUCUGAUGUGAAAGCCCACGGCUCAACCGUGGAGGGUCAUUGGAAACUGGAAAACUUGAGUGCAGAAGAGGAAAGUGGAAUUCCAUGUGUAGCGGUGAAAUGCGCAGAGAUAUGGAGGAACACCAGUGGCGAAGGCGACUUUCUGGUCUGUAACUGACGCUGAUGUGCGAAAGCGUGGGGAUCAAACAGGAUUAGAGACCCGCGUAGUCCCUGUCUCUUAUAC